CGCGUCGGACUGGAUUUAUCUGGCCUGGAGACGGCGCACGGGUGAGUAACACAUGGCUGACCUGCCCCUCACCGGGGGACAACCACAUGGAAACACCUGCUAAUACCCCCUAUGCUCACUGUGGUUAGCGAGCUGUGAGGAAACUUCCGGGGCUGAGGGAGGGGGCUGUGGCCCAUCUCCUAGUUGGUGUGGUAACGCCCUCACCAAGGCAAAGACGGGUAGGGUGCCUGAGAGGGUGACCCCCCACCCUGCUAAUGUGACACCGUCCCCACUCCCACCGGAGGUCCCACUAGCGGACAUUGCAACCAUGGGCAAAAGCCUGACGCAGUUGCGCCGCGUGCGGGAUGACGGCCUUCGGGUUGUAAACCGCUUUUUGGGGGGAAGAGGAAGGACGGGACCCCGCUCCCCAAUCUCGGCCUUGCCCUUGCCCUCACCCGCACCCAAACGUCAAUCCCAAACGUUAUCCGGAUUUACUGGGUGUAAUAAACGUGCAGGCCCUUUCCUUGGUCGUGUGUGAAACCGCUCAUGCUCAUCCGGGCGAUGCCAUGCGAAACUGCGGAACUGGAGGCAGGUAGAGGCGUGUGGAAUUCCGGGUGUAGUGGUGAAAAUGCGUAGAUAUCCGGAGGAACACCAGUGGCGAAGGCGACACGCUGGGCUUGACCUGACGCUAAGGCGCGAAAGCAUGGGGAGCGAACGGGAUUAGAAACCCCGGUAGUCCAUGCCGUAAACGAUGCGUACUAGGUGUUGCGGUGUCAAAACUGCAGUGCCGGAGCCAACGUGAUAAGUACGCCACCUGGGGACUACGGCCGCAAGGUUAAAACUCAAAGGAAUUGACGGGGGCCCGCACAAGCAGCGGAGCGUGUGGUUUAAUUCGAGGCUACACGAAGAACCUUACCUGGGCUUGACAUCGCGGUAGUAGGGAAGCGAAAGCGGACCGACCUUCGGGAGCCGUGACAGGUGUUGCAUGGCUGUCGUCAGCUAGUGUCGUGAGAUGUUCGGUUAAGUCCGGUAACGAGCGCAACCCUCGUCGUUAGUUACAAGUGUCUAACGAGACUGCCCGUUGAACGCGGGAGGAAGGUGGGGAUGACGUCAAGUCAGCAUGGCCUUUAUGUCCAGGGCUACACACACGUUACAAUGGCCGGUACAAUGGGUCGCCAACCCGCGAGGGGGAGCCAAUCCACCAAAGCCGUUCUCAAUUGGGAUUGUAGGUCGCAACCCGCUGGCUCGAAGUCGGAGUUCAUAGUAACCGCAGGUCAGCCAUCAUGCGGUGUAUACGUUCCCGGGCCUGGUACACACCGCCCGUCACGUCAGGGGAGCGGGUCAUGCCUGAAGUAGG
rnacentral:rRNA from 1 species